rnacentral:rRNA from 1 species
UACGGAGGGGGCGAGCGUUAUUCGGAAUUACUGGGCGUAAAGCGUGCGCAGGCGGUUUUGUAAGUCUGUCGUGAAAGCCCCGGGCUCAACCUGGGAAUUGCGAUGGAGACUGCAAGGCUUGAAUCUGGCAGAGGGGGGUAGAAUUCCACGUGUAGCAGUGAAAUGCGUAGAGAUGUGGAGGAACACCGAUGGCGAAGGCAGCCCCCUGGGUCAAGAUUGACGCUCAUGCACGAAAGCGUGGGGAGCAAACAGG